UACGGAGGGUGCAAGCGUUAUCCGGAUUUACUGGGUUUAAAGGGUGCGUAGGCGGUCCUAUAAGCCAGUGGUGAAAUACGGCAGCUUAACUGUCGAGGUGCCAUUGAUACUGCAGGACUAGAGUACUGAUGAGGUAGGCGGAAUGGACGGUGUAGCGGUGAAAUGCUUAGAUAUCGUCCAGAACACCGAUAGCGAAGGCAGCUUACUAAGGAGUAACUGACGCUGAGGCACGAAAGUGUGGGGAUCAAACAGG
rnacentral:rRNA from 1 species